rfam:Mesocricetus auratus contig127238, whole genome shotgun sequence.
GGAGAGAUGGCUUAGUUGUUAAAAGCACUGGCUGCUCUUCCAGAGGACCUGGGUUCAAUUCCCAGCACCC